CCUACGGGGUGCAGCAGUGGGGAAUAUUGGACAAUGGGCGAAAGCCUGAUCCAGCCAUGCCGCGUGUGUGAAGAAGGCCUUCGGGUUGUAAAGCACUUUCAGUGGGGAAGAAAGCCUUGGGGCUAAUACCCUCGAGGAAGGACAUCACCCACAGAAGAAGCACCGGCUAACUCCGUGCCAGCAGCCGCGGUAAUACGGAGGGUGCGAGCGUUAAUCGGAAUUACUGGGCGUAAAGCGCGCGUAGGCGGUCUGAUAAGCCGGUUGUGAAAGCCCCGGGCUCAACCUGGGAACGGCAUCCGGAACUGUCAGGCUAGAGUGCAGGAGAGGAAGGUAGAAUUCCCGGUGUAGCGGUGAAAUGCGUAGAGAUCGGGAGGAAUACCAGUGGCGAAGGUGGCCUUCUGGACUGACACUGACGCUGAGGUGCGAAAGCGUGGGUAGCAAACAGGAUUAGAUACCCCGGUAGUC
rnacentral:rRNA from 1 species